rnacentral:rRNA from 1 species
UCUAAAAAUAAAAAGGUAAUACCCCCGGAGAAACCUUCACUCAUUGACGGCCUUUUUUCUAAUCGGAGGAACUUGUUAAAUUAUCGAAAUUACCCGUUUAUUUUUUCCCCCCUUCAAAGCUUUUAUACCGUCGUCUUAAGAAAAACCUUAGUGGGAGUUUUCGGAAUUAAUUUAUUAAAUAAGUCAGAUCAAGGUGAAGCCUAUAGGUGCGCGCUUAAUGAGUUAUAUAUAAAAAAGAUUUAAGGAAAUAUGUGUAAAUCCCUAAUGAAUAAAGAUUUGAAAGUACACUCUCAUUAAAAAUACUAGUGGAAAUAGAAAAAAUAGGUGU